AGGAUUAGAUACCCUGGUAGUCCACGCCCUAAACGAUGUAUGCUAGUUGUUGGGGUGCUAGUCAUCUCAGUAAUGCAGCUAACGCAUUAAGCAUACCGCCUGGGGAGUACGGUCGCAAGAUUAAAACUCAAAGGAAUAGACGGGGACCCGCACAAGCGGUGGAGCAUGUGGUUUAAUUCGAAGAUACGCGAAGAACCUUACCUAGGCUUGAUAUCCAACAAAUUCUGUAGAGAUACGGAAGUGCUAGCUUGCUAGAAUGUUGAGACAGGUGCUGCACGGCUGUCGUCAGCUCGUGUCGUGAGAUGUUGGGUUAAGUCCCGCAACGAGCGCAACCCUCGUCCUUAGUUGCUAACGAUUCGGUCGAGCACUCUAAGGAGACUGCCUUCGUAAGGAGGAGGAAGGUGGGGACGACGUCAAGUCAUCAUGGCCCUUACGCCUAGGGCGACACACGUGCUACAAUGGCAUAUACAAUGAGACGCAAUACCGCGAGGUGGAGCAAAUCUAUAAAAUAUGUCCCAGUUCGGAUUGUUCUCUGCAACUCGAGAGCAUGAAGCCGGAAUCGCUAGUAAUCGCAAAUCAGCCAUGUUGCGGUGAAUACGUUCCCGGGUCUUGUACUCACCGCCCGUCACACCAUGGGAGUUGAUUUCACUCGAAGUGGAAAUACUAAACUAGUUAUCCCCCACAGUGGAAUCAGCGACUGGGGUGAAGUCGUAACAAGGUAACCGUAGGAGAACCUGCGGUUGGAUCACCUCCUUUCUA
rnacentral:rRNA from 1 species